ACGGGUGAGUAACACGUGGGCAACCUGCCCUUGAGACUGGGAUAACUUCGGGAAACCGGAGCUAAUACCGGAUAAUAUAAGGAACCUCCUGGUUCCUUAUUGAAAGAUGGUUUCGGCUAUCACUUAAGGAUGGGCCCGCGGCGCAUUAGCUAGUUGGUGAGGUAACGGCUCACCAAGGCGACGAUGCGUAGCCGACCUGAGAGGGUGAUCGGCCACACUGGGACUGAGACACGGCCCAGACUCCUACGGGAGGCAGCAGUAGGGAAUCUUCCACAAUGGACGAAAGUCUGAUGGAGCAACGCCGCGUGAGUGAUGAAGGCCUUCGGGUCGUAAAGCUCUGUUGUUAGGGAAGAACAAGUGCGAGAGUAACUGCUCGCACCUUGACGGUACCUAACCAGAAAGCCACGGCUAACUACGUGCCAGCAGCCGCGGUAAUACGUAGGUGGCAAGCGUUAUCUGGAAUUAUUGGGCGUAAAGCGCGCGCAGGUGGUUUCUUAAGUCUGAUGUGAAAGCCCACGGCUCAACCGUGGAGGGUCAUUGGAAACUGGGGAACUUGAGUGCAGAAGAGGAAAGUGGAAUUCCA
rnacentral:rRNA from 1 species